rnacentral:rRNA from 1 species
AUGACAAAUCGCACUGAAACACCGCGAGAAGAGAAUAUAGUAUACAUGGAUAUGGACUCUGGAGAUGCACGGAAAGAUUCCUUUGAGGGUUCAGAUGCAAUAUCACGGCAAGGGGUUGAAAACCCACAACAUAAUCACGUCGAUGAGGUUAUCUCUCAUAAUAAACCAAAAAAGGAUGCUAUUUUACAUGUUAUCCCACAAGACUAUGUUUGUACCCCUAGAGAUAUUACAGUCAUCGAAUCAAUCAAGUCUGCCCCUAAGAAUACCCAGUUUGUUGACAUUGGAGAUGCCUUGUUAGCAACUGACGAUUUGGAAUGUCUUAUUAAAAAUGACAUGUUCUUACAUGAUGGUGUGAUAAAUGCUUACAUAUAUUGUAUGCUUGCUCAUGAGAAUUUACAAGACAGGGCGGGUGAAAAGGUACACAUUAUUACCACGUUUGUAUCCGGCCAGAUAAAAGAAGACGGGGAAAGAGACAUGGACCCAUCAAAAUAUCGUCGCAUCGUGCGUCAUGUUAAUAGUUAUCUACAACAAGAUAUGUUGUUCAUUCCGAUUAACAUGCCGGGCUACCAUUGGUAUCUAGCAGUUGCCAACGCCAAAAAACGAGAGAUCCAAGUAUUGGACUCACUUGGUGAGAAUGUCAAACGCAAUGACCUUGCUACACGAGCAAAUUUAGGAGGCAAUACAAACCGAUGGCGUAUCAUGUGGAUUGUUUAUGCUAAAUUAUAUGGAAUACUGGACACCACAUGGACUGUCAGACCAGUUUACGCAGAGCUUAAUAAGUUAAAAGGAUGUCCCGUGUACCAUCAACCUCUUAGCGAAGAAACUUGUCUGCUCCAUGAUAAUUCUGAUCUUGAGAUCCUGGAUAAUCCAUCUGACGUUGUCGAAGAGAAACGUCCCGCCCCAAUCACUAUCAUUCCCAUGGACCAACACGAAAUACUUGCCGGCCUCUGCAGCUACAUCAUGUCGAUCUAUGAUGCUGGAUGUUUGGAGGAGGUGUGGGUCCGGAGCUCCACACCCGAUCCAAUGAGCUUAAGUCUUAAGAAACUUCAGUGCAUACUUAACCCGGAGCAGCCCAUGGACAAUGAUUGCUUCAACACCGCCGUGCUUAUGCUGGCAUGUGACGAGGGAGUAUUGUUCACAGACCCUCCUAUACACUACAUGGAUCUACGAUUUUGUUCCAUGAUGCUAGAGUCAACACGAGGUCAGAAGUUUUGUGAGAAGGAAACUAUCCAGACAUUGGCAACAUUAUUUGAUAGCUGGCCUGGGAUGGAGACCGACAUCUCAUCUUGCAAUAAGAUUUAUCUUCCCUAUGCAUCCAUCGGCCGAUACAUCCUGUACAUCAUCGACAAAGAGGCACGAUGGGUAUGA